ensembl:lncRNA
UGCAUUAAGAACAUUUCCCUGUCCGCCUGUUAGUGUUUAUUUCUUCCCCUUCUCCUCCUGGGAGCCAACACCUCCCAGCCCUCACCUUUCACACGCUGCUCUCCCUUCCUUGCCUCCAUCCCUCCCGUCGCCCCUUUCCCUCCUCCUCCUCCUUUCCCAGCUCAGCAGCGGAGAUUUCUGUUUGUGCCAGUGGGGCGGCCUGGCGAGACCGCAAUUGCUCUACCCCACAGAUUGACGAGCCCUCAGAUGCCGAUUUACUGUACAUGGCAGCCACGCUGGAGCCGAGGCACAUCUGGAGUGGAGUAAGCUUACUCAGAAACAGGGGCCAGCUCCAGCCGGAGCCAGCGGAGCCGAGCGCGGCACUUGAAGGCAGCCCUCCUGCCUCCCUUCCCUCUCCCCGGAUCCUACUAGGAGAGGGCCAACAUUUAUCUUGAACAACCUUAACUAAGUCUUGACCUUCCCAGUCAGAGAACCACUGGGCAUUACUUCCCUAUGGCUGCUUGAAACCAUUCACAAGGUGAAAAUCACAGAAUCACAGAAUUGUAAGGGCUGGAAGAGACCUCCAGAAAUCAUGGAGUGCAGCCCCCCUGCAAAGCAGACUGCCUACAGCAGGCUGCACAGGUAGGUGUCCAGGUGGGUCUUGAAUAUCUCCAGAAAAGGAGAAUCCACAACCUCUAUGGGCAGCCUGUUCCAGUGCUCCACUGACCUUAAUGUGAAGAAGUUCUUAUGCAUAUUUAUGUGAAAUUCAGUGGUAAAGUUGUUCAUCAGCUAGGAAAGACUGAACUGCACACUCCCAAGGUCUGUAGUAAACCUUAUGUGCCUGAAACCUGGACCAAGGACAAAUUCAGGGAGGAUCUACCUCUUGUUAUAAGACUUUUGUGAUCUAUGUGAUUACCGAGGUGGAUAAAAGGAUUUAUUUGGGGGUGAAAUUAUUAAUUUGAAACAAGCAAACAUUUCUGCAGAGAAAAUAUGAUGGAACCAGUCUGUUUGGCAGACUUCAGAGAGAUCUUGGCAAUUGAUUGAAAUCUAAACUUCUUUUCCCAAUGACAGUUGGAUUUUGGCUGAGAUCUUCUAGAUGCCUGCAGGGCUCCAGAGGUCUCCUGUCUGGCUGGCAGACCAUUGCUCAACUUCCCUACUGCCAGGACAGUGGAUUGAUGGCCUGUCAUUGCAGGAUGGCCCACCAAGUUGUCUACCUUUGAACUAGAGACCUCCAGUCUUCCAGGUUUCGAAAAUGGGACAUCAUUUGUUUUGAAACUUUGUUGAUAUGUUUUGAUAUGCAUUGGAAAUAUUUUGAUUUCAAUGAAUUACCGAAUCCUGACCCCUAAAAAUGUUCUGUAGGAGUUUUUUGAACAGCUCUGCUCCAGCCUAAGUUUAAUGACCCCGAGGGAAAAAUGGUUUAUCCAUAAAUAAAGUAGAAAUAAAACAAAAUCCAGUGAAUGACUCUGAAGCAGGGUUUCUCUGAUUGCACUUAAGGGGCAUCCCUGCUUGUAAUCCCACCAGUGUCCUUGGAGAUACAAUAGAAUUGUCUGGGCACAGUUUUACAGUUCUUAUCUUAAUUUUAAAUGUAAUAUCCCAAUAGUAAUUGUUAAAGUUUUUGUUAGUUUUUUUUUUCUCAAUAAGUGCAAGUUUGAAAUUGAUUCAAGUCCUUGUUUUGUGCUAACUCCAGAAGUGUCCAUGAAGUCUCAAAAUGAAAUCUUUCCUGGUAGAUAACUAUGCAUCCUGCUGGUUACGCUAUUGUGAUUGUAUUCAUAACGUGUUCUCCAACUUAAGCAAUGUGCAGGUGCAAAAGUCUCAUUCUGCAGUACAUAAUUCUUUCAUCUGCCAUUUCUUGCCAGUAGAUUUCCUGCCCAUAUGAAUGUUUCUUGUGAAAUUUCUGGAGAAUAGUUGCUGGGUUUUAGCCAGUUAUAGGAAAACAAAUACACAAACAGCCCUCUUCCAAAACUCUACAACUUCCCCUCUCCCUAAUCCUCUCUUUUGGAAACCUUUGCUAUUCAUAGUAGAUGCUCUGUAUCUACCAAAAAAAAAAAAAAAAAAGACCAGUCAUAAAAAAUAAACAUUGUGGAUUAAGGUAAAACUAUUGCUAGACUUCAGUGAUGUCAACUAGGUCUCUAGAACCUUCUUGUAUACUGGUAUGUCUCUGCCUCAAGUGGAUGCCUCCCUUUAAACGUGUGCCCAUGUUAUUAUAUCCAGUUAUUCUAGAUAUAAAAGAGAAUUGGAUGUGACAAAUAAUAAUGAUUUUUUUAAAAAAGGUCUCAACACAGUGUUUUCUUUAAGCCUACAUGACUUUGGGACCUACACAUGUGCUCAGGUAACAGAAAAAUCCAUGGAGCUUGCAUUCAUACACUGUAUUUAUUCCAAUGGGC